UACGUAGGUCCCGAGCGUUGUCCGGAUUUAUUGGGCGUAAAGCGAGCGCAGGUGGUUUAUUAAGUCUGGUGUAAAAGGCAGUGGCUCAACCAUUGUGUGCAUUGGAAACUGGUAGACUUGAGUGCAGGAGAGGAGAGUGGAAUUCCAUGUGUAGCGGUGAAAUGCGUAGAUAUAUGGAGGAACACCGGUGGCGAAGGCGGCCUGCUGGACUGCAACUGACGUUGAGGCCCGAAAGCGUGGGGAGCAAACAGG
rnacentral:rRNA from 1 species